CCCUGCGCGUUGCCUUACAGACAGGAACCGGUAACGCCAAAAAUCCUAACGCAAAAGUCAGUUUGAAUGUGUCCUGCCAGCAGUAACACUGCAGCUGUGUUAACAUACUCCUAAAUUAAGUUAUACGUAGAAAGAAUAUGUGUUGUAAAGAAUAUACUGAGUUUGAGAAAGGAGAGGGAGAGGCUGGGUCCGAUGAAAAUUAACAAGAAGAUUUAAAGGCAGGGUAGGUAAAUAUGACAAACUAGCAAGAAAUUGCCGGAUUUUUGAAAGUAUCCAACAGAGAAACUCCCACCGCCGCCCUUCUGGGCUCCUUUCAAAGCCACGCCCCCCAAAUACGUGAACGCGCGUUGCCGACUGCCGGAGGACGAGCACAGUGUGACGAGCGGAGGACAGCGCGAUGCAGGCUCACAUCAGGGAGCUUCCACGGUGACAGCAUUAUUGUCUCUGAUGAGAACUGCACUCCAGAGCCAAGCACAGACCGGGACAGGACCGGGACCGGCCUGGGGUCGAGGCGAAGCAGAGGAGGGAGGGCUGCCGGGGUCCGAGGAAGAAGAGGCAGGACGGGAAGGACGAGGUGCAAGCCGAGCAGCACAUACCAGCGUCGAGUACUCCAAAAACAAAUUUUUCCCAGUGUACUUGUUUCAGAGAUUCUCAGGUGUUGUGGACAACAUCCAGAUUACAGUGUUUCCAUACACCACACAUGGCUGAUCUUCCAGACCCAGGACAGAGUAACAGACAGUUUGUAGUGUGGCAGU